rnacentral:rRNA from 1 species
AAACUGGGGAUAAUACUGGAUAGGCAAUUAUUCCUGUAAUGGUUUUUUGUUUAAAUGUUUUUCGCCUAAGGAUGGGUCUGCGGCCGAUUAGGUAGUUGGUUAGGUAAUGGCUUACCAAGCCUUUGAUCGGUACGGGUUGUGAGAGCAAGAGCCCGGAGAUGGAACCUGAGACAAGGUUCCAGGCCCUACGGGGUGCAGCAGGCGCGAAACCUCCGCAAUGUGAGAAAUCGCGACGGGGGGAUCCCAAGUGCCAUUCUUAACGGGAUGGCUUUUCAUUAGUGUAAAGAGCUUUUGGAAUAAGAGCUGGGCAAGACCGGUGCCAGCCGCCGCGGUAACACCGGCAGCUCUAGUGGUAGCAGUUUUUAUUGGGCCUAAAGCGUCCGUAGCCGGUUUAAUAAGUCUCUGGUGAAAUCCUGCAGCUUAACUGUGGGAAUUGCUGGAGAUACUAUUAGACUUGAGAUCGGGAGAGGUUAGAGGUACUCCCAGGGUAGAGGUGAAAUUCUGUAAUCCUGGGAGGACCGCCUGUUGCGAAGGCGUCUGACUGGAACGAUUCUGACGGUGAGGGACGAAAGCUAGGGGCGCGAACCGGAUUAGAUACCCGGGUAGUCCUAGCUGUAAACGAUGCGGACUUGGGUGUUGGGGGUGGCUUUGAGCUGUCCCAGUGCCGAAGGGAAGCUGUUAAGUCCGCCGCCUGGGAAGUACGGUCGCAAGACUGAAA